rnacentral:rRNA from 1 species
ACCACCGGCGGACGGCUCAGUAACACGUCGGUAACCUACCCUCGGGAGGGGGAUGACCCCGGGAAACUGGGGCUAAUUCCCCAUAGGCCUGAGGUACUGGAAGGUCCUCAGGCCGAAAGGGACUUAUGUCCGCCCGAGGAUGGGCCGGCGGCCGAUUAGGUAGUUGGUGGGGUAAUGGCCCACCAAGCCGAAGAUCGGUACGGGCUGUGAGAGCAAGAGCCCGGAGAUGGACACUGAGACACGGGUCCAGGCCCUACGGGGCGCAGCAGGCGCGAAACCUCCGCAAUGCGGGAAACCGCGACGGGGGGACCCCGAGUGCCGUGGCAACGCCACGGCUUUUCCGGAGUGUAAAAAGCUCCGGGAAUAAGGGCUGGGCAAGGCCGGUGGCAGCCGCCGCGGUAAUACCGGCGGCCCGAGUGGUGGCCGCUAUUAUUGGGCCUAAAGCGUCCGUAGCCGGGCCCGUAAGUCCCUGGCGAAAUCCCACGGCUCAACCGUGGGGCUUGCUGGGGAUACUGCGGGUCUUGGGACCGGGAGAGGCGGGGGGUACCCCUGGGGUAGGGGUGAAAUCCUAUAAUCCCAGGGGGACCGCCAGUGGCGAAG